UUAUCAAGAGUCCACUUGUGGAUCGGUUAUUAGCUAUUGUGAAGUGAAAUACAGUGAAGACUAGGAAAUAAAGAGACACUUGAGCGACCCUUGGUUAUUGAUAAGAUUGUAAAGAAGGUUUAUAUUGUGUCUGGUUAUUUUGUUUGUUGUGGUUUUGUGUAAAAGUAUUUACCCAUUGAGAUGUGUUAUGGAGGUAGAAAGGUGUAGGAAGUACAGUCCAUUAAUAUUUCGAAUACGAGAGGAAAUGAUAUAGUGGAGACAGGAAAUGAUAUAGUGGAGACAUGUAACGUGUGGGAGAGUGUGUAUGAAGUAGUUGGUAUGUGC